rnacentral:rRNA from 1 species
UACGAAGGGUGCAAGCGUUAUUCGGAAUGAUUGGGCGUAAAGGGUGUGUAGGCGGUAAGUUAAGUCAAUUGUUAAAUCUCCUAGCUUAACUAGGAAUCAGCAGUUGAUACUGGCAUACUUGAGGGUGGAAGAGAGAAGUGGAAUUCUCGGAGUAGCGGUAAAAUGCGUAGAUCUCGAGAGGAACACCGAUGGCGAAGGCAGCUUCUUGGUCCAUACCUGACGCUGAGGCACGAAAGCGUGGGGAGCAAAC